rnacentral:rRNA from 1 species
CGUUACAGAGAGAAGCGAUACCGCGAGGAGGAGCAAAUCUGAAAAAAGCGUCCCUAGUUCGGAUUGUAGGCUGAAACUCGCCUACAUGAAGCUGGAAUUGCUAGUAAUCACAGGUCAGCAUACUACGGUGAAUACGUUCCCGGGCCUUGUACACACCGCCCGUCAAACCAUGAGAGUUGGCAACACCCGAAGUCGGUAGUCUAACCGCAAGGAGGACGCCGCCGAAGGUGGGGUUGAUGAUUAGGGUUAAGUCGUAACAAGGUACC